CUCGAUUUCUCCCCCAUCCACUCUUCAAUUUGUGUUAGCUUACAUUAAGUUAGGAACUCCUCCACUAGACUGUCCACAUCUGGAGGGCAAGGGCUGGCUUGGGGUUUUGUUGUUGUUUUCCAGAUUAUAUGUUGGUAUAAUUUUUAAUGGUAGUUUUCAGAUAUUUGGCUAGCCAUGUUCUCUCCAUCACUCUCACCCUUUCCCUUUCCCUCAAACAGGAGGCCUGUGUAUUAUCACACUAACCCUAUUCAUCAUGUUGUGAAAGAAGACACAUGUCACUUACACUAGAGAAAAAUUCAUGGAGGAAAUAAAGUGAAGAACCUGCAUUCAAACUGUCUAUUCCUUUGAUAGCAAUGAUUAGCCUUUUUCGUCAUGAGUCCCUUGGAAUUGCUGAUAAUGCUUAUCAGCAAUUAAUCUUGUGUUUUAUGGCUGUUACUGUGUACAUGUUCUCGUGGUUCUGCUCACUUUGUAUCACUUCAUAUAACUUUGUCCAGACCGUGUCUACCAUCAACCCAUUCCAUCCACACUUCAGAGGAGAGAAGGAAGUGAAGAAAGAGAUGGGAGAGCGAACUUAUAGCACCUGAGCUCACCCCCUUCUUCGGGCUCAACUCUGGUUGAGAAUCCUAGAACCCCAAAGCCAAAGGGAAGAAAAGAAAGAUUCUUUGAAGUUUGGGGGAGGAGAAAGGACAUGAGAAAGGCUUCUUCCAAAAGGUGGAAUUUGAGGUAAAUCUUUUUUAUUUUUCCCAAUUACAUGUAAUAACAAAUUUCCAUACAAAUUGCCUCCCUGCUUCCUCCCUCCCCUCUCCUGGCAAGCAAGUGAAUCUGGGUUUUACAUGUAUUAUCACACAAAAUGUAUUUCCAUGUUGGUCAUUUUUAUAAGCAAAUAAUCUUAUAAAACCCAAACCUCAAACAUCUACCCAAAUAAACAAGCAAUAAAUCAUAUGCUUUCA
rnacentral:lncRNA from 1 species